rnacentral:rRNA from 1 species
AUUGAACGCUGGCGGCAGGCCUAACACAUGCAAGUCGAGCGGAUGAAGGGAGCUUGCUCCUGGAUUCAGCGGCGGACGGGUGAGUAAUGCCUAGGAAUCUGCCUGGUAGUGGGGGAUAACGUCCGGAAACGGGCGCUAAUACCGCAUACGUCCUGAGGGAGAAAGUGGGGGAUCUUCGGACCUCACGCUAUCAGAUGAGCCUAGGUCGGAUUAGCUAGUUGGUGGGGUAAAGGCCUACCAAGGCGACGAUCCGUAACUGGUCUGAGAGGAUGAUCAGUCACACGGGAAGUGAGAAGCGGGCCAGACCCCUACGGGGGGAAGGAGGGGGGAAUAUUGGACAAGGGGCGAAAGCCUGAUCCAGCCAUGGCGGGGUUGUGAAGAAGGUUUUCGGAUUGGAAAGCACUUUAAGUUGGGGGGAAGGGCAGUAAGUUAAUACCUUGCUGUUUUGACGUUACCAACAAAAAAAGCACCGGCCAACUGCGG